GUCCACGCCCUAAACGAUGAUGACUAGUUGUUGGAGGAGUUAAAUCCUUUAGUAACGCAGCUAACGCGAGAAGUCAUCCGCCUGGGGAGUACGGUCGCAAGAUUAAAACUCAAAGGAAUUGACGGGGGCCCGCACAAGCGGUGGAUGAUGUGGUUUAAUUCGACGCAACGCGAAAAACCUUACCUACCCUUGACAUGUACGGAACCUCAUAGAGAUGUGAGGGUGCCCGAAAGGGAGCCGUAACACAGGUGCUGCAUGGCUGUCGU
rnacentral:rRNA from 1 species